GAGAGUUAAUUUAAUUUUUGAAACUCAAAUGGAUUUGUUUAAAAAGAUUUGUACUGAUUUGAAUUAUUUUAAAAGAUUAAGGAUUAGUUUAUAAUUUUCAUUUAAAGUUAAAAAAAAUCAUCACAGCCUCGCUCUCCUCUCACGCUCUCUCUCCCUCCCUCUCUCUUUCACUCUUCUUCUCUUUCCUUCUCUCCUUCGUUCUUCCAUUUCACCGGUCACCACAUCCACCAUCAGCUAUAUUUAGCUUCACCGGCAGAUAAGUGGCCGUCGACCACUCUCCCAUGACUAGAACAAUGUUAGAUUUCAGUGAAGAGAGAAAAAAUUCGUAAAGAGAGAGAAAAUGAGUUUCUAAAUUUUGAAAUCACAUAUCUUACAAUCCGAGCAUCCUAUCGAAGUGAUUCCAAUAAUAUGGACUUUUGGUGAAGAGAGCUUUUAGAAGGGACCAAUUUCGCCAUAUUUGGUUCUUGUUUCUAGCAGCGGUGAGGAGAGAGAAAAUAAGUAACCAAAACUUUCCGAUGUGAUUCCGAUGUCGAGGUAAGGUGUUUUCGGUGGCGUUGGACUCCUGGCAGUAUAGGCUUUCAUUUGGGACCAGCUUCACCGGAUUUCAUGAAGUUUCCAGUGAGAUUGAGGAGAGAGAAACUUGAGAAUUAUAUUUCAAAUCUCAGCCAAUCAGCGAUCUAUUUCAGUGAUCAAGCCUGGUAAUCGUGAUAUACAUUCCACAAGCUUCAAUUUCACACCUACUAUGCCUCAGAUCGGACAACGUAUGAUGAAGAUAAUAAAUGGAUGGAUGAAAUAAAUUGGCUAAUAUUGGACGAUCGGAAGGAAAUUUUGACAAACGGUCUUCGAAUCAAUGACUAAUGAAUCUUGGGUAUUUCAAAACUGUAUUCGGAGCAUCAAUAUCUCACCGACCUCGGGAUCGAAUUUUCAGGCAGAUCAAUGUACUCGGGGGACCUUUAUGAAAGAUUAUCGUAUUUACAGUCCUUUCCACCAACGUUUCCACCAAUUUCAGAUGCUCUCAAAGCGGUCCAGGUGUUCGUUUUUGCAAAGGUACGACGCAUUAUCUCGCUGACUCCCCAUGAUAUGGAUAGGCGAGGUAGGUACGACGCUAUAUUUCACUACUACGGAAUAAAUACGAUGCUAUAUUUUGCUGACUCUUACAGAAUAGUUUAAGUGAAUGUAUUGAAUUGAGAGAGUCAAGACAUGGGAUCGGCUCCCAAUAGUUAUUUAUUUUGGAUGAGUGCGUGAGUAGCUCCAAUUUAUCCUCUUGUGUGAAGAUUGUAUGAUUAAUUCAAUAGUAAGAUUACUUUUGUAUUAGAUCACAAUUAUAGGAUUUAUGAUUAUAACUAA